AUCCAUAGUCCCCACGUUUUUCCCCACUCUUCGUUUCUUCCUUGGCAACUGUACAUGUGUAGAAAAAAAAUCAACUUCCCUUCUCUGCAACUCCAAGGUUUCUCAAUCUCCCUGAUUGAUCAGUGGGGUUCUUCUUUUUAAGCUGUGGAGGACGCUGAUAUGUGCUGUUAUCUCCUUGCAAAUCCCCAAAUUUUCACUAAAUUUGUUUUCCUUUCAAGUCACUUGAGUUGUAGCAAGGAACUGCAAUCUCCUAGCAAUUGAAUUGUCCAAUUGGCAUAUUACAGGUUGUGCUGAACUAUAGGAUUGUUCUGGUGGAUGAAAGCUGGCGGAUUAAGUUUUAGAGGGUGAGAGAUAAUGAUUUCUUGAAGAUUCCAGGGCGCUGGAUGCUGAAGGUUGAAGAUUCCAGGGCGUUGGAUGCUGAAGGAAAUAUUGAUCCCAAUCGUUAUAAAUCUGUUUGGAUCACCAACCUUCACAUUUCUAUUCGAGAUGACCGCUAUUCUUGUUUGUGCCUGCAAAAUUUGGGUAAAGCAACAAUGAAGCGUGAAAACGAGAUUGGUACAUUGGUGAUCCAAAUUUUAGUGAUAUUACUCAUCCAUGUUUCCAUCCUGAACACCGGAUGGUGCGGCUCAAGGGAAAAGAUGAAUCAGCAAUGGUCUAGACGUUUCAAAGCUGAUGGAGACGUUUCAAAGAUGCUGGAGAUGCACAAGAAGCAGCAGAAGAAGAAAAGCUGCUGCGAGUAGAGUUUGUGGAGUAAGGAAGGUAGCUUUCCCCCAAAAAAAGUUCACAAGUCUGUGAUUCAAAUAAUAUCACCCCUGGACCUGAAUUUAUGCAUGUUUUUUCAACUCAGACUAAAGAAUGAUCCUGAGUGGAGAUCAGUCAAGGUUGUCUAACGUUCUUGGUGACAAAAUUAUGUUUUGCAUUCGCUGGCAAAACACUUCCUGGUUUUGAUCCAAAUACCCGUCCAUACUUGUAUGGUUCGGAUAAAGAUUUGAUUAUGCUGCAUUGGCUACGUAUGAACUGCAUUUCUUUAUUGUUAGAAGAGAGGACGUUCAUAGUAAAGAAUUAACAGAAGGUGCUGAAGAUAGUGUGGCCAGAAGGGUUUAGGUGGGCAUAUAUGGGAAAGUUGAUAAGUGCAGAGUGAUGGAUGUAAGGAGUAGCUGGUUAUGAUAUUAGACGUUUUAUUUAAAAAUGUAUAUUGCAAUUUUGGUUUUCUGACAACUUGUUUGUAGAAUGUAUCGUUUUUUUGUUUUGAAGAAUGUAUCGUUUUUUAAUGUAACAACUCAUCUAAAAUUUUAA